rnacentral:lncRNA from 1 species
GUCUAAAAUCAACUCGGUCAGUCUAUUCAAUUGAAGAAAGAAAGCGCAGACGAAUGAUAUCAAACCGGGAAUCAGCCAGGCGAUCACGUUGGCGGAAAAAGAGGCACCUGGUGAACCUCGAAAAUGAAGCAAAUUGUCUAACAAUCGAGAACCGGAAAUUAAAAAACCGGUUGUGCACGAUCGCAAAUGAGUACCAUUUCAUUGAGAGAGACACAUACCUGCUAAGACUAGAGUUCAUUGAUCUGCAACAAAGAUUAGCUGGUUUAUAUCAAAUCUUAGCAUCCAUUCAACCGUACUAAUUACUCGUCAUUAACAAUAAACAAAAAUCAUCAUGGCCAAACUAAACUUUAAACUGUCUGAUAAUUCUCUACGACUUCACCGCCCACCCCACUUUCCCAACAUGCACACUCAGCCAUGCAUUCAAAUUUCGACAAAAGAAUCAAGGUUUCUCGAUCACUGUCAAGUUCGCCCGACCACAUUUUCUGCUCGAUGUAAGAAGUAAAAUGUAGCUAGCUUUUUGAGGGUUUUUUAACCCCUUUUUUUGCUGUUAUCAGAGCUUUGUAUGUAGUUUGGCAGUCGAUGAUAUGCACAGACCCUGAAAACUUAAAUUUUCGAGUUCUAAGCUUAUGUUUUUAAGGUUUAUCAGCUUUUCAAAUGACGUGUACUGUAUAUA